CAGGCUUAACACAUGCAAGUCGAGGGGCAGCAUGGUCUUAGCUUGCUAAGGCCGAUGGCGACCGGCGCACGGGUGAGUAACACGUAUCCAACCUGCCGUCUACUCUUGGACAGCCUUCUGAAAGGAAGAUUAAUACAAGAUGGCAUCAUGAGUCCGCAUGUUCACAUGAUUAAAGGUAUUCCGGUAGACGAUGGGGAUGCGUUCCAUUAGAUAGUAGGCGGGGUAACGGCCCACCUAGUCUUCGAUGGAUAGGGGUUCUGAGAGGAAGGUCCCCCACAUUGGAACUGAGACACGGUCCAAACUCCUACGGGAGGCAGCAGUGAGGAAUAUUGGUCAAUGGGCGAGAGCCUGAACCAGCCAAGUAGCGUGAAGGAUGACUGCCCUAUGGGUUGUAAACUUCUUUUAUAAAGGAAUAAAGUCGGGUAUGCAUACCCGUUUGCACGUACUUUAUGAAUAAGGAUCGGCUAACUCCGUGCCAGCAGCCGCGGUAAUACGGAGGAUCCGAGCGUUAUCCGGAUUUAUUGGGUUUAAAGGGAGCGUAGAUGGAUGUUUAAGUCAGUUGUGAAAGUUUGCGGCUCAACCGUAAAAUUGCAGUUGAUACUGGAUAUCUUGAGUGCAGUUGAGGCAGGCGGAAUUCGUGGUGUAGCGGUGAAAUGCUUAGAUAUCACGAAGAACUCCGAUUGCGAAGGCAGCCUGCUAAGCUGCAACUGACAUUGAGGCUCGAAAGUGUGGGUAUCAAACAGGAUUAGAUACCCUGGUAGUCCACACGGUAAACGAUGAAUACUCGCUGUUUGCGAUAUACAGCAAGCGGCCAAGCGAAAGCGUUAAGUAUUCCACCUGGGGAGUACGCCGGCAACGGUGAAACUCAAAGGAAUUGACGGGGGCCCGCACAAGCGGAGGAACAUGUGGUUUAAUUCGAUGAUACGCGAGGAACCUUACCCGGGCUUAAAUUGCAGAUGAAUUACGGUGAAAGCCGUAAGCCGCAAGGCAUCUGUGAAGGUGCUGCAUGGUUGUCGUCAGCUCGUGCCGUGAGGUGUCGGCUUAAGUGCCAUAACGAGCGCAACCCUUGUUGUCAGUUACUAACAGGUUCCGCUGAGGACUCUGACAAGACUGCCAUCGUAAGAUGUGAGGAAGGUGGGGAUGACGUCAAAUCAGCACGGCCCUUACGUCCGGGGCUACACACGUGUUACAAUGGGGGGUACAGAGGGCCGCUACCACGCGAGUGGAUGCCAAUCCCAAAAACCUCUCUCAGUUCGGACUGGAGUCUGCAACCCGACUCCACGAAGCUGGAUUCGCUAGUAAUCGCGCAUCAGCCACGGCGCGGUGAAUACGUUCCCGGGCCUUGUACACACCGCCCGUCAAGCCAUGGGAGCCGGGGGUACCUGAAGUGCGUAACCGCGAGGAGCGCCCUAGGGUAAAACUGGUGACUGGGGCUAAGUCAUAAC
rnacentral:rRNA from 1 species